UCUCUGUUUAUCCCCUUUUUUCCUCUGUAAACAUAAGUCUGAAAAUAUAUCUUUCUUUGAUGCAGAUCAUGGAGGCACCGGGACUGAUAUGAUAAACCUUUAUUCUGGUCUAUCAUCUUUUUAGGUUUCGGUGAUCGUAGAUGUUUAAGGCCUUGUGGGAGGGUUUGCAUAUAAAUUCGAGUUUCUGGUUACUUCGCAUCUAUUCAGUCUCUUAGGUGGUAUGCUCUUAAGUCUGAGCUCCUCUGAUGUACAAGGCUGGACAUGUGGUUUCUUCAGGUUCAGAGUAAAAUUGUUCGUCUUCCUAGUGAGACUAACUGGCCUCUUCUCUUUUACUAGUCGAGGUUCUAUAGAAGAAAGGCAUCGGUUACUUACUGGCCCCUUUCCCUUUUUCUCUGUUUCCCUUUUGCUGAAUCUUUUACCUUUUGUUUGAUCCUACACAUAUGCUCUCGUGAAAAUGGAUUGUUUUUUCUUUACGGGUAGAAUAACUUUUCAUCUAUCAUUUUCUAUGUUACUUCCUUGGUGGUUUCUUCUCUUUUCCUUGGAAAUAUGAUCUGUUUUUCAUCUUCCUUUUUCUUUUUGACUGUCUUUCUGAUUUCAUGAUCUGUAUUUUUCUAUGGUUUAAAUGCUAAUCACUUCUGUUUGGGAUGGUGUUUUCUCUUUCUGACGGGAAUUCAUUGUCUUCGUAUAGGAAUUUGGGUGAUGCGAGUAGAAGUUCUGUUUGGACCUUUUUUUGUCUAGAAAUUAAUUCUUACAUUUAAGCUCCCAUAUUUGGUUUCUUGUUUUUUUUGCUGUUGUUGCAUGGUUGUUAGUUUUUACGCCUCUUUCUAUUUGUGAAUUACUUCAAGAGAAGUAAGCGAUUGAGUUCCUCACUGGUUGUCUCAAGGAGUGAUCUCAUAUGAAUGUUUCCUUUUUCUUGUUAUUUCUCCUCUAUAUGUCUUAUUGUAUUUUCCAGGAUUUAUGAACCUUUCCAGUCUACUUGCAGUCAGUCAGAUGAAAGAUGAUCAUAACUUAAAUGGGUUUGUACUUAUUUUCUUUCCUUUUCAUGAUGGUUGUGUCUGCUAAAUUAGUUUUUUGCAUUGAACAUCUUCAAGUCUGAGCUUCUCUUAAGCAAAAAAGCUAGCCAUGUUGUUAUUCAGGUAUCUGUUCCUCUUUCCUUCUUGGAUCUUAUGCAAUUUGUUGAUUUAUACUUCCUGUAUUUUGAAGUGUGUUUUCGUUUCCUGAGAGCUUUAGACUAUGACAGUGGAAGUUUCACAUGAUUGGAACAUGCAGGUCAUUCGAAGUUUCUUAUCUAUCUAGUGCAAUUCGCAUUUCUGCUUAUGCCUGAUUUUUUUGUUAUUAAGUCUUUAACAUAGGUACCUUAUGUUACUACUUGGGCUCUUCCCUGUUUGUCCAUUUUGGUGUGGUACAUCUACUUGGUCUCUUACUACAUCUACCUGAGUUUUGUUCCUUGCGUUUCUUUCUUUGUCUUGCAUGUGUUUUGGAAGCAAUUAUGAUCUGAUCAUUGCGUAUUCUUCUCCAUGCUACAUCUCCAGGCCUUAUUUUAUGUUUUGGAAGCAAUUAUGUUUUAGUUUUGUUGGUUUCGGUUUGUGUGAUUAACUUGUGGUUCUGCUAUUUCAGGUUUUCAUGAAGCUUUUAUCGAUCAAUGAUGGCUUUAGACACACUUCUUCUCCAGGGGUUUUGUUCUUCUU